rnacentral:tRNA from 1 species
ACACAAAUAGUAUAGUAUGUAUGUUGAAUUUAGGUUUUAAAGGAAUAAUUUGUGUU